UACGUAGGUGGCAAGCGUUGUCCGGAUUUACUGGGCGUAAAGAGCGCGCAGGCGGUCGUUCAAGUCGCGUGUGAAAGCCCCCGGCUCAACUGGGGAGGGUCACGCGAUACUGAUCGACUCGAAGGCAGGAGAGGGAAGUGGAAUUCCCGGUGUAGUGGUGAAAUGCGUAGAUAUCGGGAAGAACACCGAUGGCGAAAGCACUCUGCUGGGCCGAAACUGACACUGAGAGACGAAAGCUAGGGGAGCGAAUGGG
rnacentral:rRNA from 1 species